GCCAGAGUGGUGCAAUGGUUUGAGCACUGCACUAUGACUCUGGAGACAGGAUUCAAAUCCCUGCUUGGCCA